AAGACACUAGUAUAAGAGAAAAUACACUGCUUUGUCAAGGCAGAAAUGUGGGUUAAACCCCCGCGUG
rnacentral:tRNA from 1 species